UGUCGUGAGCUGACCAAAUCAUGAAACGUAAAAAUUCAUAAAAAUCCAACAUUUAGUUUUACUUUCAUCUUUUCUCAUAUGCAGCUAUUUAGGCAAUUGAAAAGUCGUAGAUAUAAAAAAAUCAACAGUAAAAUACGAAAAAAUAAACAGAAAUGCCAACUUGCUAAGAACAGAAAUGUAUGGAGAGUGACCCCCAAAGACUCACGCGACAUCUACAGACAACGACUUCAACGCCGACUUGAAGACAAAGAUUGUGAUAAAGAAGAAUGCAUGUGUAAUGGAAGCAAUAAAGAAUAUAAGCGAUAUCGUAGAGUAAAGAAGAGGCAUGUAACAUAUUCGAGGAGCAAAUGUUGCAAAAGACAUUGUAGCCGCGCGUCGGAUACAACUGUAUCGAGCUAUACCCGCUCGUCAAACUCCGACGUCACUAACACUUGCGAAAUGGACACCAAAUAACUUCAUUCCUUUUUUAUAAUUAAUUUAUUUCCUUAUACGUUUUUUUUAUUUUAACAAUAAAAAUAAUUGAC